rnacentral:rRNA from 1 species
UACGUAGGGUGCAGGCGUUAAUCGGAAUUACUGGGCGUAAAGCGUGCGCAGGCGGUCUUUUAAGUCAGAUGUGAAAUCCCCGGGCUUAACCUGGGAACUGCGUUUGUGACUGCAAGGCUUGAGUGCGGCAGAGGGGAUGGAAUUCCGCGGUGUAGCAGUGAAUGCGUAGAUAAUCGAGAGGAACACCUGCGGCGAAGGCGGGA